rnacentral:rRNA from 1 species
UACGUAGGGUGCAAGCGUUAAUCGGAAUUACUGGGCGUAAAGCGUGCGCAGGCGGUUAUGUAAGACAGUUGUGAAAUCCCCGGGCUCAACCUGGGAACUGCAUCUGUGACUGCAUAGCUAGAGUACGGUAGAGGGGGAUGGAAUUCCGCGUGUAGCAGUGAAAUGCGUAGAUAUGCGGAGGAACACCGAUGGCGAAGGCAAUCCCCUGGACCUGUACUGACGCUCAUGCACGAAAGCGUGGGGAGCAAACGAGGAU